rnacentral:rRNA from 1 species
GAUGAACGCUGGCGGCGUGCCUAAUACAUGCAAGUCGAGCGAACGGAUGAGAAGCUUGCUCCUCUGACGUUAGCGGCGGACGGGUGAGUAACACGUGGAUAACCUACCUAUAAGACUGGGAUAACUUCGGGAAACCGGAGCUAAUACCGGAUAAUAUUUUGAACCGCAUGGUUCAAUAGUGAAAGACGGUCUUGCUGUCACUUAUAGAUGGAUCCGCGCUGCAUUAGCUAGUUGGUAAGGUAACGGCUUACCAAGGCAACGAUGCAUAGCCGACCUGAGAGGGUGAUCGGCCACACUGGAACUGAGACACGGUCCAGACUCCUACGGGAGGCAGCAGUAGGGAAUCUUCCGCAAUGGGCGAAAGCCUGACGGAGCAACGCCGCGUGAGUGAUGAAGGUCUUCGGAUCGUAAAACUCUGUUAUUAGGGAAGAACAAAUGUGUAAGUAACUGUGCACAUCUUGACGGUACCUAAUCAGAAAGCCACGGCUAACUACGUG